UUCUCCUCUUAUUAGGGUUCAACAUCUUCUUCCUGGUUGGAGGUUCAAUAAUCAUCGAUCUUUGUACACACAGGGUGAUGAUGACAAUAAUGAUUAUCAGAAAUCUCUCUCUUCUUUUAUCUUUCUUAUCUGAAUCUGAUUCAAUUUGUCUCUCGUUCUCUUCUCUAUUACGAGAAACCCUGAGCUCUAUUGGCCAAAUCAUUGUAUUCUUUUAAAACCCGUACCAAAAAUCCAGUAGCCAACAGUUGAGAUGAAUAACUAAUGAACAAGAAGAAGACUUUUGGAACUUUAAAAGAUUGUGGGAUGUAAGGAGUGGGAAGAUCAUGCACACAAUAGAAACCAGUUCACCUGUGAAAAGUACUGAAGUUAGUCAGGAUGGUCGUUAUAUCACCACCACAGAUGGUUCCAAUGUUAAAUUUUGGGAUGAAAAUCAGUAAUUUAACUAGUAUUGUCCCUUCUCUUUAUAAACCUCAUACAUACAUGGUAUUUGAUUGUUCAUCUUGCUGCUUUUAGUUUUGGACUAGUGAAGAGCUAUGAAAUGUCAUGCACUUUGGAAUUGGUUUCAAUGGAACCAAAGCAUGGCAAUAAGUUUGUAGCUGCUGGAGAAGACACGUGGAUAAGACUGUUUGAUUUCCAUACAGGCGGGGAGGUUGUUGACUAGUAGAGUAUUUAACAAUUUAUGUAUCAAAAGUCAUUGCAAUUUCGUUGGUAUUCUUAACCGUCACUUUGAAGAGGUAAUAUCAUAAAAAUAUAGUGAAUUAAGAAAACAACAGAAGAGACUGUUCCUGCUAAAUCAUAGAAACUCUGUUAAGGUUAGCCAAAAUCCAAAUAGAGAAAGAAUAAAUUCUAGUCCUAAUCUGGAACGGAAAGGACAAGAAACCCGUUCUUCUCCGUACAAACUAUUGGCCAUGCUCACUGCUUGUUGCACAUAUUAUUGGGUUGAACUGCACUUCAGAAUUUAGUUGUUGUCUGAAUGUAAUUAUGAUUUUUAAUGGUGAAAAUGAUUUAUGGUUUGGUGUAGCUUGCAACAAGGGUCAUAUGGUCAUGUGCAUUGUGUGCGGUCAUGUGCAUUAUAUGCGGUUUGCCCCUGGAGGCGAACAGAAUUUAGCAUGUAGGUCUUCGACCCAUGACGAGAGUGAUUCCGCUCUUGCAAAUGUUUUGGGUGGGAAGGACAAGUCAAUCGGCGAGAAAACUUUAUCCAUCAAGUGUCAUUUCUGACUGCAACAUGAAAGUAUGGUGUUCUCUUGAACACAUAUCCAGUUCUUUGGCUGAAUGUAAAGCCACAACUGCAUUCUCAUUAGGCAUAGCAUGUGGUAAAUAAGUCAUGUUAGACUGGAACCUUGUUGUAUUAUUCUUAUUGAAUGUUGAGUCUAGGUUCGGUUUGAAAGUGAGUAAGCAAAUUCAUGUCAUACCAAAAGUACUCGAACAUUGAACAUCCCUUGUUUUCCUUAUCAUAUUUGUUUGCCUUUUUGUCUGUUUUACAGGAACCAUCAUGGUUUGAGGCAUUACUGGGGUCUCAGAGUCCAUGGACAGCUCACCAAGAUCUGGAUUUUCAGGCAGCUAGAAUCACAAGCAAUGAUCUAUUUCUUGCACCAGUGAAUCUAAGGAGUAGAAUAAGUCAUUAAGCAGUAAACAUUCUCAGGUGCUCCUUAAUGUAUGGCUUCGCAUCUGCAAACGCCAGCAUCGAGAACAAGAGUUCAUGCUCCUUAGGUAACUUGAAGAAACUUCAAGAUCUCAAAACCCAGAGAAGAAGAAGAAAAAUUCUUACAGAAAGAUGUGGGAACCAAUACAUUAGCAGCAACAGCAGGGAAUAAUAUAGGGAAAGUUUUGCAGAAGAAAGGAUACGUUAUUCUUUCUCUUUCAUUGAAGCUCAAGGCAUCUUCUUUUGUAAUUUCUUGACAUGGAUUUGUGAUUUAUAAUUACGGAUUCCUAUUGAAUUUUUGUUUUAUCACUAGAAUGGGUAAUUGAAUCAAUUUCUAAUGUAAGUCGAUGUUUUAUCUUAUUUUGUAUUGUAUGUAACCGUUAAGCAUGAAGAUUGCUUAACGGAGUAGAAAGCCUAGAUGUUAAAUUAAAGAAUAAGGUGGUAUUCUAUCACUUUCUUAAAGUGAUUGUUGUUCAAUGUGUUUGGGUUGUGAGGGCAAGUGAAAG